UCGACAUGAACGACUGCAAAGAGUACGUCACUUCCCAGCCUCCCCCUCUCCCUGUGUCUCCUCCUAGCGUGAUUCAUGUGUCGUUCGUUGCGAGAUUGGGAGGUGUUUGCGCUCUCGCAUCCUGUAAAUUAUUCGUCUCACAUUUGGCCCCGUCUGCUGCUCUGGUGUCGAAACCCGUAGGAGAUUGAGAUGGUUGUUUCGCUUUUAGAGACUACGAUUGAUCCAAUGAUGAUUCGCAUCUUGGUUGCCAUGAAUUCUGCUCCAUAUUUUACAAUCCAAUGGGUUCACUGUGCAAGUUAACAAUACUGGUUUGGUGUGUAGAAGCUUGCUCAAAUUCAGUGAUGUUCUGUCUUAGGGUUUGCUUAGCGUGAAUUAUUCGCCGUUGGUAUGAUGUCGUUGUAUUAAUGCUUUUGGUCCAUUGUGUAAGUGUGGCAAACUAUUCUUCUAUCAUUGCCUCUAUGUAGAAUUACAACAGUGUGAUUUCUCAUGUUUCAUGUUUGGCAGACAAAUAUGUUGAAAAUCAACUAACAGUUGCGAGUAUGACAUAUGUUCAGAAUAAGAACCAUUCAUGCUAUUCGGUGUUUUACUGCUUGGUCAUUGGUUGAUGUACACAUUUUCAGGAAGUUAUAAUCAGGAGGCAACAUCUAAUAGUUGCUAAAUGCUAAAUAUAAUAGUUGGUGUACAAAUUCGUCUACGCUGAAUUUUACAGUCUGAUGGGUUCACCGUGCUAGUUAACAGUAUUGGUUUGGUGUGUUGAAUCUCGCCCAAAUUCAGCAAUGUCUUGUCUCAGGGUUUGUUUAGUUCCAUUGGUAUGAUCGUGAUGUCGUUGCAUUAAUGUUGUUUGUCCACUAUUUAAAUGUGGCAGACUAUUUUUCUACCAUUGCCUCCGCGUAGGAUUAGAAUAGUGUAAUUUCUAAUGUUCGCUUUCAGGACUUGACUCUUGGUUUUAUUGAGAAGGUGGCUCGUCGGAUGCUGUUGCCGUGGAUGACAAUGAUCUCGUUCUCGAUAGGAGAAUGAAGAGACACAGGAGAGGGGACGAGGAUCAUGUGCUCACCGUGCAACACGGCGUCACCUCUUCGCUCCGAAGCGUCGGGAUUCUUGCUAGAGAGCAUUCAGUGUCGGGUUUCCUAAUGUGUAUUGUCCUUCUUUCAUUUGUGGUCCACUGUUUGCUGUUGUUGGUUUACAGGUUUGGAAGGCAGCCAUGCUGCUAACCUGACUUUGUGUUGCACAAGAGCUUCACGUUGUCUGAAUUGGACGGUGUUACUGCCAUGGAGAUCGGUGUUGGGACAGGUGAUGGCUUGUUAUGAAAUUUAGUGAAUGAGAAAAUUGUGUUGUGCUUGUACAACUGUGUAAUUUUUUAUUUUUUAUUUGUUUUUGUGAAUGUCAAAAUGUUGAGUCCGAGAAGUUCAAGUAUGUUAGUUUAAACUGUAUUAUUGAGAUGCUC